CGGAGUAAUAGUUUAAUUAAAAUAUGGGUAUUGGAAGCCCACGAUCAGGAAGUCUAUGCCUGUUCUCUGA
rnacentral:tRNA from 1 species